CCCUGCCUCCUCUUUUUCUUGAUACUACCCCCAAACUACCACAACUUAUUUUUACCCAGGACACCCCACUCAACUGCAUCCCAUGCUUACGUGCAAACCCGCCCUAGUAGCUUAACUCUAAAGCACCGGUCUUGUAAUCCGAAGAUUGGGGUUAAACUCCCCCCAGGGCU
rnacentral:tRNA from 1 species